rnacentral:rRNA from 1 species
UACGGGGGGAGCAAGCGUUGUUCGGAUUUACUGGGCGUAAAGGGCGCGUAGGCGGCGCAACAAGUCACUUGUGAAAUCUCCGGGCUUAACCCGGAGCGGUCAAGUGAUACUGUCGUGCUAGAGUGCGGAAGGGGCUACUGGAAUUCUCGGUGUAGCGGUGAAAUGCGUAGAGAUCGGGAAGAACAUCGGUGGCGAAAGCGCUCUGCUGGACUGCAACUGACACUCAGGGACGAAAGCUAGGGGAGCGAAUGGG